UCUGGGAUAAGCCUGGGAAACUGGGUCUAAUACCGGAUAUGACUUCUCAUCGCAUGGUGGGGGGUGGAAAGCUUUUGUGGUUUUGGAUGGACUCGCGGCCUAUCAGCUUGUUGGUGGGGUAAUGGCCUACCAAGGCACGACGGGUAGCCGGCCUGAGAGGGUGACCGGCCACACUGGGACUGAGACACGGCCCAGACUCCUACGGGAGGCAGCAGUGGGGAAUAUUGCACAAUGGGCGCAAGCCUGAUGCAGCGACGCCGCGUGAGGGAUGACGGCCUUCGGGUUGUAAACCUCUUUCAGUAGGGAAGAAGCCCUCUUUUGGGGGUGACGGUACUUGCAGAAGAAGCGCCGGCUAACUACGUGCCAGCAGCCGCGGUAAUACGUAGGGCGCAAGCGUUAUCCGGAAUUAUUGGGCGUAAAGAGCUCGUAGGCGGUUUGUCGCGUCUGCUGUGAAAGACCG
rnacentral:rRNA from 1 species